CCUACGGGUGGCAGCAGUGAGGAAUAUUGGUCAAUGGACGCAAGUCUGAACCAGCCAAGCCGCGUGCAGGAAGACUGCCCUAUGAGUUGUAAACUGCUUUUGUACGAGGGUAAACGCAGAUACGCGUAUCUGUCUGAAAGUAUCGUACGAAUAAGGAUCGGCUAACUCCGUGCCAGCAGCCGCGGUAAUACGGAGGAUUCAAGCGUUAUCCGGAUUUAUUGGGUUUAAAGGGUGCGUAGGCGGGCGGUUAAGUUAGAGGUGAAAGUCCGAGGCUCAACUUCGGAAUUGCCUCUGAUACUGGUCGGCUAGAGAAUAGUUGCGGUAGGCGGAAUGUAUGGUGUAGCGGUGAAAUGCUUAGAGAUCACACAGAACACCGAUUGCGAAGGCAGCUUACCAAGCUGCUUCUGACGUUGAGGCACGAAAGUGUGGGGAUCAAACAGGAUUAGAUACCCCUGUAGUC
rnacentral:rRNA from 1 species